UAGCUCCUACACUUAACGUUUACAUUUUCUCAUUAUUAAAUUAUUACUUUUGUAUGAUUACAGCAUUAUAAUGUGGUGUUAUUAUAUCUUUUAUCUAGGUAAUGGAAGACGAGGGGCAAAUCACGUUUAACGUUACUCUAACGGUUUUACACAGAGUUCUUGCGACUGUCUUCAUUGACGGCAAGCAAACAUGGAGAAAACUAUUCACAGUUGGAAGUGUUGGAGAACUGAUUAACUCAGCCAAAACUGAGCUCUCUCAACAAGUAUCUGUUGAUUAAUGAUGAUUUGAUAUUAUUUUUUACAGAAUGAAUUCCAUGUUAAAACCAGAAAAAAAGCAGAAUAAACAGUAUGUAAACAGUA